rnacentral:rRNA from 1 species
UAGCCGUAAACGAUACUCGCUAGGUGUCGGCCACGGUGCGACCGUUGUCGGUGCCGUAGGGAAGCCGUGAAGCGAGCCACCUGGGAAGUACGGCCGCAAGGCUGAAACUUAAAGGAAUUGGCGGGGGAGCACCACAACGGGUGGAGCUUGCGGUUUAAUUGGAUUCAACGCCGGAAAUCUUACCGGGACCGACAGCAACAUGAAGGCCAGGCUGAAGACUUUGCCGGAUUAGCUGAGAGGUGGUGCAUGGCGUAGACGUCU